CGCACCUAACCUGCUGAUUCUCUGAACACAGGUGUGUCCUGGCUCAAAUACGGCAGACGACCCUGUACCAGCACUGCACUAACAAAGUGGAAAACUGACUGGUCCCUACUGUUAGCACUUUUCUACCAAAGCUGACUUGUAUAUUUUCUUUUUAUUUACAGUUAUAGAUGACUCCUGUCAGUAAGAAUACUUACUCCCGCUGUUAUGCUGCUCCUCACACACACACGCACGCACGCAUGCACGCACACAAACACACACACACACACACACACACACACACACACACACACACACACACACAGCCUGUUAUAGUACACACACACACACACACAGAGCCUGUUAUAGUACACACACCCACACCCACACACAGAGCCUGUUAUAGUACACACACACAAACACACACACACACAGAGCCUGUUAUAGUACACACACACACACACACACACAGAGCCUGUUAUAGUACUGCUACACGCACACACACACACACACACACACACACACAGCCUGUUAUAGUACACACACACACACACAGAGCCUGUUAUAGUACACACACACACACCCACACACACAAACACACACACACACACACAGAGCCUGUUAUAGUACACACACACACACACACACACACACACACACACAGCCUGUUAUAGUACACACACACACACACAGAGCCUGUUAUAGUACACACACACACACCCACACACACAGCCUGUUAUAGUACACACACACAAACACACACACACACACACAGAGCCUGUUAUAGUACACACACACACACACACACACACACACACACACACACACACGAUCAGCAUCCCUAGACCCCAAAACCAACCGUCGCGCACACCCCAAACGUGUGAUCACGUUUAGAGUGUAAAUGAAUUUAGAUGAUAUUUACCUUGGUGCCCCUGCGCAUCAGCCCAGUUCAACCCGUGCGGUUUCUCGUAGCACUUGGCGCCCGGAUUCCUCAAACAUUACAACGUUCCUCAACUGUCAGCUAUCCUGAAACCUUUGAAGUUUGUAGAGCUCUGAAAGAGUACAUUUUAAGUGGAACAUUUACUCCACCAUGCAACAAAAAAAUGCGCAAGGAAAUGCGGCGUGUGUCUGAAAACUUCAUAGCAAAAGACAACCGAUUGUUUUACACUGGACCAAAUAAAACGUAUAUGAGACUAGUUGUUUGUACUGAGGAGGAAAAAAGGUCUGUUUUGAUGGAGUGCCAUAACUCCGGCACCAGCAACCACAACGGUGUACGAGGCACGAGAGACAGGGUGAUUGCUGGAUACUUCUGGCCUACCCUAAUGAAAGAUGUAACUGAGUGGGUGAAGUGUUGUCGCCGCUGCCAACUAAAUGACCCCAUGAAGACGGGGACACCAGUGUUACAUUCUAUUAAGGUGAAGGCUGCAUGGGAGGUGAUUGGCCUGGAUUUAAUUGGCCCACUGCGAGAAACUGGUCAAAAAAACAAGUAUGUGUUGACCAUGACUGAUUUAUAUACAAAGUGGGUUGUUGCUGAGCCACUGCAAAAUAAGACUGCAACUGAAGUGUCAGCAGCCAUCAUAAAGACACUCUACUUGUUCGGCAUGGUCAAGAAAAUUAUUACUGACCAAGGGAGAGAGUUCGUUAAUGAGCUGAAUGAAAACAUCUUUGCAACUCUGAAAAUCAAACAUGCUGUCUCAAGUGCCUACCACCCUCAGACAAAUGGGCAGGAUGAGCGAACAAAUCAAAAUGUCAAACGUGUAUUGCGGAAGUAUGUAAAUGAAAGCCAUAAUGAUUGGGACAUCCAUUUACCUGCAGUUGUGUAUGGUAUUAACACUGCUAAGCAAUCUUCAACCAGGCACACCCCGUAUUUCUUAUUCUUCCAUCGGCACCCUCAUUUGCCAGAGGUUAUGAACGCCUGUCCCAUGGGAGAAGACUUUAAAAUUGCUGACCCAGAAGAUGAUCUUGACACCCGAGUAAAUGAAAUGAAAAUUUUAAAUGAGAAGGUGCUUAGCAACAUUGAAAAUGCGCAGAAAAGACAACAAAAGUCUUACAGGAACCGUAAGAGAAAGCUAAUGAGCACAAUCAGUCCUGGCGAUGAGGUCUUGAUUUCUCAAGAUUUCAAUAUAAAACAGAGAAAAGACACCCUUGCUGACCGCCACAAAGGUCCUUUCACUGUGGAUAGUAUCUCUAAAAAGGGUGUGGCAGAUGGUGAAAGAUAAUGGGACUCGAUGUUGCAUCAAUGUCUCACGGCUAAGGCCUUUCUACAGGUUGGAAAGUAAGAGCUAAGUAGUGUUUUUUUUGUAAUGGUUGACAUGUAAGGUGUAUAUUGUAAAGUUUAUUUUAUUAAUAUUAGACUUAAUUUUUUUUAUUGUCUCUUCAGAUCAUGGAGCAGUUCCAUGUGUGUCACUUCAGGACCAUGAGUAUGGUACACCUGAUGAAGCAACAGACCAUCCUUAUGCUUUUUCUGGAGAGAAAUGGGAAAAAGACUUGGGUCCUCUCCAGGAAAAACUGUUGAAAUAUGUCCUGGACAAAAGCCUUCCAGCAGCAGAAUUGAUUGUUAAAGAUGACAAUAUCUGUCUUACACGUGAGGACUUGUGGAGUCUUGGGUUAAAUCAGUGCAUGGAGUCUACUAUUGGGAAUGCAUGUUUUAAGAUCAUCAGAGAAGCUGCUCAAAAACAUGGGAAAGAUGUUUACAUUGCUGACAUGUAUGUGGUUCCCACAUGGAAAACGAUGAAUGUGGACCCACUCUCAAGUUUACCGAACAAUCUGUGUUCCAAGGAUGCGAUUUUGUUCCCUGCAUGGAGUAUGCAACAGAAUCAACUGGAUCACUAUUUGCUAUGUGUUGAGUUACAGUUUCAAAAAAUAGAUAUUCAGAUUUUUAGAAUGAAGUUUGUUGAUUAGCUUAUCAUUUUGAAAUAUGUCCAUUGCAGGUUUUACUGGUUGUGGAGAGAGAGAUCAUUUUUCUAGAUUCUGUACUCCCUGGUGGUUUUGGAGAUGACUCAUACAAAACGAUAUUUAGGUUAAGAGAGAGGAAAAAGUUGCCCUUGUUCAGUGGCUUUUACCAAUAAUAUUUUACGCAAGAGCCAUGUUCUGUGGCUGCUGAUUUACACAAAAGCCUUGUUCUAUGGCUGAUGAUUUACAAAAAGCCUUGUUCUAUGGCUGAUGAUUUACAAAAAGCCUUGUUCUAUGGCUGAUGAUUUACAAAAAGCCUUGUUCUAUGGCUGAUGAUUUACAAAAAGCCUUGUUCUAUGGCUGAUGAUUUACAAAAAGCCUUGUUCUAUGGCUGAUGAUUUACAAAAAGCCUUGUUCUAUGGCUGAAAAUUAACAAAAAGCCUUGUUCUAUGGCUAAUGAUUUACAAAAAGCCUUGUUCUAUGGCUCAUGAUUUACAAAAAGCCUUGUUCUAUGGCUGAAAAUUAACAAAAAGCCUUGUUCUAUGGCUAAUGAUUUACAAAAAGCCUUGUUCUAUGGCUGAUGAUUUACAAAAAGCCUUGUUCUAUGGCUGCUUAUUUAUAGCUUUGUUCUUUUGUUUUAUGUUUACGCAGAAGCCUUGUUCGAUGGCUGUAGGAUUAGGUCUCAUUUUAUGAAACUAGACCAUGGAGAACAAUUGUAUGACUAUAGGUUUCAGUAAGUGUGUGUCCAUAAUUAUUUUUUUUUCCAUUUUAUGUGCAGACAUAUUGCAGGCCAGAUUGACCCAAGACCCUGGACAGAGAAGACCGGCAGAAGUUUUGAUCACUUCCCUCAACAAACUUCUGGGAACUACUGUGGCAUCCUUAUACUCAUUGUAAGCAUCCUUUUAAGUUGUGAUAAGCAGCAUUUUGAGUUAUUGGGUAUAAUAGAGAGAUUUAUUUUUUUUACAGUAUGCCCUCUGUAUCUGCACCAAUACCCCAUUUAUCUUCACAGAGGUCAGUUGCAUCUAUUAAUAUAGAAAAAAAUAUUUCAAACCCCACCCCAAUUGUCUGAUCAUUGUUAUAUAUGUUUUAGAAUGAUGUGCCAUUAAUCCGCCAGUGGUGGUGCAUCCUACUGAUGGAAAGAUUUCAGAUUGAAGGACAUGGCCAGAGGUUUGCUUUCUGGACUGACAAGGCUAGCAGGCUAUUGCAAGGGACCCUUCAGCCACUUUUUAGGGUAUCUAGGUCAAUCACUUCAGACAUUCCACCUCAUGUGCAAACCAUGGUCAACCGCACAGCCCAAGAAAAGAAGCUGGUAGACUUUGCUGUACAAGACCAUGGAGUCCGGCAACAUUUGUUGGGUGUACUCUGUGGAAAAGAGCCUUCGAAGUGGCUCAGCAGAAUCCAGAAGGGAUCAUCUCUACGGGUGCCAGUGUACCUGGACUCGGAGGAAGAACAGGACUCCCUAUUUUUCUAUCUUCAGGAUGUCCUGAAAUCUGCACCAGUAGAAUUCCACAUUGAGGAUCAAGUGCAGUUCAUUUUGGAUGUUUUGUUCCCAGAGUGCAUCACCCAAGCCAUGUCUACACUACAGGGAAUAACUAUACAAGAGGCUGAAGAGUUGUUUCUUUCUGGUCCUAACUACAGCAGAAGGUAAAAACAGUUACCUGUGUUUGAAAUAUCUGUAUGAAUGUUUAUUUAUUGUGACUACCAUUUUAAUUGGGUGGGUGGUUGCGUGUUUGUGUCGGGGUACUUUGAGUUGGGGAGGGUGGGUUUUUGUGUU